UCACCCCUCAAGCCCUCGGCUUGGUGUUGGACGGUUUGGUGGAGGCCCCUUGCGGGUUCCUACCCCUCCCAAAGACAAUGACGGCGGCCUCGUUGGACCCCCGGUACACUGAGUUCUUCACGGGACACGUAUCGGACACAUGGGUUUACGGGACACGGUCUGCCUCCCCUCAGGGAGAAUCUUUCUUAA
rnacentral:misc_RNA from 1 species